rnacentral:rRNA from 1 species
AUUGAACGCUGGCGGCAGGCCUAACACAUGCAAGUCGAGCGGAGCGGCGGACGGGUGUGUAAUGCCUAGGAAUCUGCCUGGUAGUGGGGGAUAACGUCCGGAAACGGGCGCUAAUACCGCAUACUAUCAGAUGAGCCUAGGUCGGAUUAGAUAGUUGGGGGGGUAAAGGGCUACCAAGGCGACGAUACGUAACUGGUCUGAGAGGAUGAUCAGUCCCACUGGAACUGAGAAACGUUCCAGACUCUUACGGUGGGAAGCAGUGGGGAAUAUUGCACAAUGGGCGCAAGCCUGAUGCAGCCAUGCCGCGUGUGUGAAGAAGGCCUUCGGGUUGUAAAGCACUUUCAGCGGGGAGGCGUUACCCGCAGAAGAAGCACCGGCUAACUCCGUGCCAGCAGCCGCGGUAAUUC